rnacentral:rRNA from 1 species
GCGGCGGACGGGUGAGUAACACGUAGGCAACCUGCCCUCAAGACUGGGAUAACUACCGGAAACGGUAGCUAAUACCGGAUAAUUUAUUUCACAGCAUUGUGGAAUAAUGAAAGACGGAGCAAUCUGUCACUUGGGGAUGGGCCUGCGGCGCAUUAGCUAGUUGGUGGGGUAAUGGCUCACCAAGGCGACGAUGCGUAGCCGACCUGAGAGGGUGAACGGCCACACUGGGACUGAGACACGGCCCAGACUCCUACGGGAGGCAGCAGUAGGGAAUCUUCCGCAAUGGGCGAAAGCCUGACGGAGCAACGCCGCGUGAGUGAUGAAGGUUUUCGGAUCGUAAAGCUCUGUUGCCAAGGAAGAACGUCUUCUAGAGUAACUGCUAGGAGAGUGACGGUACUUGAGAAGAAAGCCCCGGCUAACUACGUGCCAGCAGCCGCGGUAAUACGUAGGGGGCAAGCGUUGUCCGGAAUUAUUGGGCGUAAAGCGCGCGCAGGCGGUUCUUUAAGUCUGGUGUUUAAACCCGAGGCUCAACUUCGGGUCGCACUGGAAACUGGGGGACUUGAGUGCAGAAGAGGAGAGUGGAAUUCCACGUGUAGCGGUGAAAUGCGUAGAUAUGUGGAGGAACACCAGUGGCGAAGGCGACUCU